GAGGGGAAUGCCAAGACUGCUUAGCAGGAGUAAUGGCAUUGUCAUGCUGGUUGCCGUUGCAUAAAAAUUUUCCUGGAAUUUUAAAGUGUCCAGAUUCGGUCCCCAUACUCCAAUGUCACGGUGAUUGUGAUCCAGUUGUUCCAUACAAAUUCGGUCAAUUAUCGUCCAGUGUGUUAAAAACGUUUAUGAAGCAUUCACAGUUCCAGUCCUAUAGAGGGUUGUCACAUUCCUCAUCUGACGCUGAAGUAGAAGAUAUGAAGAAAUUUAUCGAAAAGCACGUUCCUCGUCAGUGAAUAAGCUACCAGCUAACAUUCGAAACAAGUCAUCCAGUCUGAACGAAACCAACAACUGUAACCAUCUUUGCAAUUUUGGAGCAUCUCUAAUAUAAUAUGUUAAUCGGCUUGAGUUCAUCAGAGUGACAGUUUUUCAUACAUAUUAAUCACUUAUUACUAAAACGGUCAGCACAUGCAAGCUGUCACUACUACAUAAUAAAAUAGGUUCUGUAAUACAAACCUUUUUGCAGACUAAAAAAAUCGCAGUGGCUACAAAUCACCUAUGACAAUGAUUAAAGCAAAACAAUAAGUAUUCCAAACGUUUUGAAAACUAUCUGUUGAGAUUGCACUUCGUAUAGUGAGGAGGCUAAAAAAGUAAUAAUUGCAUCCUGUAUAACCGAGUCCUCAGUAUUUGGAAUUAGGGCAAACAAAUCAAAGAAUAAUAUUUUAAUUUGUAUUCGUACUACCUCUAAUCAAUCGAAAAUAGCUAACCAAACAGUUUCAACUGAACUGCUUGCAAUUAGAUGCCAUUACUAAAUAGUCAAAUUUAUUUUGGUAGAAAAAAAAAACAAAUAAAACAUACAAUGAGCAGCAAAAGUUCUUUUGGCUACAGCAUGUCAAAUGGUUUAAAGUUUUGUUUAACGAGAGAAUUUUUAAUAAAUUGUAUCAAAAUCUUGAUGGCGAACGAAUUCAAAUCUUAGAAAAAAUAAUCAAUAUUAAAUCUACUGCUGCGUUGCGACAAAAUGCGAAGACCAUUGCGGUAUUGAUGGAGCAUGAAAUUGUAAAGAGAAUGAAAUAUAUAUAUUUUAGUUUAAUUAGAUCAACUUCAGGUAAAAAGU